rnacentral:rRNA from 1 species
UACGAAGGGUGCAAGCGUUACUCGGAAUCACUGGGCGUAAAGCGUGCGUAGGCGGUUUCUUAAGUCUGUCGUGAAAGCCCUGGGCUCAACCUGGGAAUGGCGAUGGAUACUGGGAGGCUAGAGUGUGAUAGAGGAUGGUGGAAUUCCCGGUGUAGCGGUGAAAUGCGCAGAUAUCAGGAGGAACACCCGGUGGCGAAGGCGGGGUCUCUGGGCCGAUACUGACGCUGAGGAGCGAAAGCGUGGGGAGCGAACAGG